GCCGGGUAUGGUGGCGCAUACGUGUAAUCCCAGUGGCUUGGGAGGCUGAGGCAGGAGGAUCGAGAGUUCAAAGCCAGCCUCAG
rnacentral:sRNA from 1 species